rnacentral:rRNA from 1 species
GAUGAACGCUGGCGGCGUGCCUAAUACAUGCAAGUCGAGCGAACGGACGAGAAGCUUGCUUCUCUGAUGUUAGCGGCGGACGGGUGAGUAACACGUGGAUAACCUACCUAUAAGACUGGGAUAACUUCGGGAAACCGGAGCUAAUACCGGAUGAUAUUUUGAACCGCAUGGUUCAAAAGUGAAAGACGGUCUUGCUGUCACUUAUAGAUGGAUCAGCGCUGCAUUAGCUAGUUGGUAAGGUAACGGCUUACCAAGGCAACGAUGCAUAGCCGACCUGAGAGGGUGAUCGGCCACACUGGAACUGAGACACGGUCCAGACUCCUACGGGAGGCAGCAGUAGGGAAUCUUCCGCAAUGGGCGAAAGCCUGACGGAGCAACGCCGCGUGAGUGAUGAAGGUCUUCGGAUCGUAAAACUCUGUUAUUAGGGAAGAACAUAUGUGUAAGUAACUGUGCACAUCUUGACGGUACCUAAUCAGAAAGCCACGGCUAACUACGUG